UGAAGCGGGAAAAGCUCAAAUUUAAAAUCUGACAGUGGUUUCACUGUCCGAAUUGUAAUCUAGAGAAGUGUUGCUCACACUGGACCAUGUAUAAGUCUUCUGGAAUGAAGCGUCAUAGAGGGUGAGAAUCCCGUCUUUGACAUGGACUGCCAGUGUAUUUGUAGCAUGCUCUCAAAGAGUCGAGUUGUUUGGGAAUGCAGCUCUAAAUGGGUGGUAACCUCCAUCUAAAGCUAAAUAUUGGCGAGAGACCGAUAGUGAACAAGUACCGUGAGGGAAAGAUGAAAAGAACUUUGGAAAGAGAGUUAAAAAGUACGUGAAAUUGUUGAAAGGGAAACGCUUGAAGUCAGUCACAUUGGCCAGGGAUCAACUUAUUUUGCUUAAGUGUACUUCCUGGUUGAUGGGCCAACAUCAGCUUUGACUGUCAGAGAAGGGUAGGGGGAAUGUGGCACCCUCUUGGGUGUGUUAUAGCCCUCUGUCUUAUAUGGCAGUUGGGGCUGAGGAAUGCAGCGCGCCACAAAGGCCGGGCU
rnacentral:rRNA from 1 species